UGGGGUUAUGGGGAUUAAUGGGGUUAUGGGGCUAUGGGGUUAUGGGGUCAAUGGGGAUCAAUGGGGUUAUGGGGAUUAAUGGGGUCAAUGGGGAUCAAUGGGGUUAUGGGGUCAAUGGGGAUCAAUGGGGUUAUGGGGCUAUGGGUGAUGGGGUUAUGGGGCUAUGGGGACAAUGGGGAUUAAUGGGGUGGCCCCAUAGGACGUCCCCAAGACCCCAUAGAUCACCCGUAGACCACAUAAAAUGUCCCCAAGAAGCCAUAGACCCCAUAGGAUGCCCCCGAGACCCCAUAGGAUGCCCCCAGAUCCCACAUAUCCCCCCAUAGACCCCAUAGGAUGCCCCCAGACCCCACAUAUCCCCCCAUAGACCCCAUAGGAUGCCCCCGAGACCCCAUAGGAUGCCCCCAGACCCCAC
ensembl:lncRNA